AAAUGCUCUGCAUGCAGUACGUGUCAAGGGUCAGAUACUGUAGAGCAUUUACUUCAUGGCUGCCAUUGGUCGCCUCGUCGCAAUUAGCAGAUUAAUCGAUAUAUACAUAGCUAAUAUAAUACACCUGAAUCAACGAGUUCUACAGUAGGCGAUGAGCUACAGACUACAGUUUAGACAUGAUAAUGGUAGGGAAAUGUGUGCGUUUCAGAAUGCGUUCAAUCAGAAGCGUAAAGGACUCGGUCAGUGGUGUGGCUGAGUUCAUGUUCCAAAGUGCGGGUGCCCCCCGCCCAUGUGUGCGCCGCUAGAGGAAUUCGGAAAGGUGUGAAACGCCUGACAUCACGUGCGGGUGACAAUACAACCGAUCGCGCCAAUGUAGCAUUCACCAAAUGAAAGGCUAUUCAAGAGCGGUCGGCGUCCGUACCCCGAUGUCAGGGUCCCGAAUAAACGGGUCGAUCCUGUGAAUCGGUGUUUAAUUCCUGCUCUCCAGGCAAACUUAGUAGACUACACGGCCCGUCAAUGUAUUGGAGAAACAUGCGCUCGUGUCACACAUGCAGGAAUCAAUAUAACGAAUUGGUCAGCUUCCACUACUGACUGUGUUUGCCCUGUUGUUGUACAUGAAAUUCUUACCGACGCUCUGAAUUUAGCAGCACAGCUUCUUGUGUGUACAGAAGAUGGUGGUUUCGAACCAUUAGUCUGCGACAAGUUGGCCUGUUGGAACGUGGACGAGCUCACUGGCGAAAGGGACUUCUGCUCGCACGCAAACGACGUGGAGGUUACAGAACUAGAAAUUGAAGGUGCUCCACAAGGCCCCGUUGGAAGGACCGUCCAGAAAAGGCGGUCCGUGAACAAGGAUUUCGACAUUUUUGGGGACAAAGAAACCUUCAAGGGUGACGGCUUAAUUGAGAACGCCCACAUAACUGUUAAUCAUGUUGACGACAUAUUGCUCAGUUUAACUUUGCCUCAGGAAUAUGCUACAGCUUCAUCCUCAAAGAGAACUCAGGGAAGGGUUCUGACAUGCUCCACAACACAGCAGGCUAAUACGAUGCAAGGACCGUCGCCGGCUACUGCAAACGUCUCCUUUCGAGCCUUACGUCGAACACGGCCGAUUCAAUACGCACGUCGCAAUGCCCACCUGAGUACCUCACCAACGAAAAACCGGUCCAAUUGACAUUCGAUUGUCUACCGGCCCGAGGCUGUUCAGCCUGCUGCAAGGCGCAUAUCUUCUACCCUUCCAAUCCAAAGACAGGGUCUCAAAAAAAACAGAAAUUAUAGUAUAACCACGGCAUCUGCUCCUAUGAAGAUCAUGCACACAAAACGGUUUUUCAUGCAAGAGCCUUUACUAAAUAUUUCGCAUAUUACCAUUUAGUUCUUGUACAUGCAAUUCGA